rnacentral:misc_RNA from 1 species
GAUUGAAGGAGGAAGGAGCAAGUUGAUGCAAGCGGAGUUGUAAUUGAGUUUAAUUUCUAUUUUUUUAUUGGAUUUGGAUCAUGGAGAACGGUCACCAUGGAAAAUAGCAAAUAAAUUGUCGGGAUUAUCGCUGAAUGAUUCAGCGUCUUCGUCUUCGAAUCUUAAUUUCAAUAAUGACAAUAGUAUCGCCACUACUACUGCAACCACAACUAA